GACGAACACUGGCGGCGUGCCUAAUACAUGCAAGUAGAACGCUGAAGGAGGAGCUUGCUUCUCCGGAUGAGUUGCGAACGGGUGAGUAACGCGUAGGUAACCUGCCUGGUAGCGGGGGAUAACUAUUGGAAACGAUAGCUAAUACCGCAUAACAGUAGAUAUUGCAUGAUAUCUGCUUGAAAGGUGCAAUUGCAUCACUACCAGAUGGACCUGCGUUGUAUUAGCUAGUUGGUGGGGUAACGGCUCACCAAGGCGACGAUACAUAGCCGACCUGAGAGGGUGAUCGGCCACACUGGGACUGAGACACGGCCCAGACUCCUACGGGAGGCAGCAGUAGGGAAUCUUCGGCAAUGGACGGAAGUCUGACCGAGCAACGCCGCGUGAGUGAAGAAGGUUUUCGGAUCGUAAAGCUCUGUUGUAAGAGAAGAACGAGUGUGAGAGUGGAAAGUUCACACUGUGACGGUAUCUUACCAGAAAGGGACGGCUAACUACGUGCCAGCAGCCGCGGUAAUACGUAGGUCCCGAGCGUUGUCCGGAUUUAUUGGGCGUAAAGCGAGCGCAGGCGGUUAGAUAAGUCUGAAGUUAAAGGCUGUGGCUUAACCAUAGUACGCUUUGGAAACUGUUUAACUUGAGUGCAAGAGGGGAGAGUGGAAUUCCAUGUGUAGCGGUGAAAUGCGUAGAUAUAUGGAGGAACACCGGUGGCGAAAGCGGCUCUCUGGCUUGUAACUGACGCUGAGGCUCGAAAGCGUGGGGAGCAAACAGG
rnacentral:rRNA from 1 species